CGUGGAUAACCUGCCUCACACAGGGGGAUAACAGUUAGAAAUGACUGCUAAUACCGCAUAAGCGCACGGCAUCGCAUGAUGCAGUGUGAAAAGCUCCGGUGGUGUGAGAUGGAUCCGCGUCUGAUUAGGUAGUUGGUGGGGUAACGGCCCACCAAGCCGACGAUCAGUAGCCGACCUGAGAGGGUGACCGGCCACAUUGGGACUGAGACACGGCCCAA
rnacentral:rRNA from 1 species